rnacentral:rRNA from 1 species
AACGAACGCUGGCGGCAUGCCUAACACAUGCAAGUCGAACGAGACCUUCGGGUCUAGUGGCGCACGGGUGCGUAACGCGUGGGAAUCUGCCCUUGGGUUCGGAAUAACUCAGAGAAAUUUGAGCUAAUACCGGAUGAUGACGUAAGUCCAAAGAUUUAUACGCCCAAGGAUGAGCCCGCGUAGGAUUAGCUAGUUGGUGAGGUAAAGGCUCACCAAGGCGACGAUCCUUAGCUGGUCUGAGAGGAUGAUCAGCCACACUGGGACUGAGACACGGCCCA